GACAGCAGUCGCCGCGGUAAUACGUAGGUGGCAAGCGUUGUCCGGAAUUAUUGGGCGUAAAGGGCUCGCAGGCGGUUUCUUAAGUCUGAUGUGAAAGCCCCCGGCUCAACCGGGGAGGGUCAUUGGAAACUGGGAAACUUGAGUGCAGAAGAGGAGAGUGGAAUUCCACGUGUAGCGGUGAAAUGCGUAGAGAUGUGGAGGAACACCAGUGGCGAAGGCGACUCUCUGGUCUGUAACUGACGCUGAGGAGCGAAAGCGUGGGGAGCGAACAGGAUUAGAUACCCCAGUAGUCCCUGUCUCUUAUAC
rnacentral:rRNA from 1 species